rnacentral:snRNA from 1 species
UUUCUAUUCAUGCAACUCUGUUC